GAUGAACAACGUAGCGAAACGCGAUAAGUAAUGUGAAUUGCAGAAUCCAGUGAAUCAUCGAAUCUUUGAACGCACAUUGCGCCCGCCAGCAUUCUGGCGGGCAUGCCUGUUCGAGCGUCAUUUCAACCCUCGACCUCCCCUUGGGGAGGUCGGCGUUGGGGACCGGCAGCACACCGCCGGCCCUGAAAUGGAGUGGCGGCCCGUCCGCGGCGACCUCUGCGCAGUAAUACAGCUCGCACCGGGACCCCGACGCGGCCACGCCGUAAAACACCCAACUUCUGAACGUUGACCUCGAAUCAGGUAGGACUACCCGCUGAACUUAAGCAUAUCAAUAAGCGGAGGA
rnacentral:misc_RNA from 1 species